GCCAUGGCCCACAGCUCCAUAUGGUGCUCUUAUGGUUAAACCUCCACAAUCAUAUUGAUUCCCACUCCGGUAUCUGAACUUUGCGGCUUCAUUAACAAUCUGAUCAAAAGCAGGAUAGAUAUAAUCUGCAAAUUGAAUUUCUGCUAUGGCCCUGUUCCCCAUUGCUGCCAGACCAAUGCCAAAUCCAACAAUGCCCUGCUCACAAAGAGGAGUAUUGAAGACUCGAUUUUUGCCAAAUCGUUCAGUUAGUCCAGUUGUGCAACGAAAUACCCCACCAAAGCUCACAUCUUCUCCAAACACAUAAGAACGAGGAUCGGUU
rnacentral:misc_RNA from 1 species